GCUCUGUCAAUAUCGCUCUGCAUCAUUUAUAAUGGUUUCAUCGCAUUUCAUAGUAUAGAUGGGCCGUCAUUUUGUAAGACCAAUUCCCUAUUGUUUUCAUUUUUUCUCGAUUCUAAACAGUGCUGGGGUGAACAGCUUUGUAAAUACACCUUUUUGUUCUUUGUUCCAUUAUUUCCUUAGGAUAAAUUCCCAGAAGAAUCCUCAAGUCAAAGCAUACAUGUUUUUUUUGGAAAAGGAGAUCUGGCUCAAGAAAGUAUCCACUUUUCUUCCAGAAAGGCUGCUCUCCUUGACAUCCUUACCAAGAUUUACAGGAAAGUUGCACAGAGAGAACAGCCUCACUCACCUCCCUCUGAUGUUAACAUCUUACAGAACGUGGUGCUGUUUGUCACAACUAAGAAAUUACCAAUGGAUCUGAUCUGGGGUGCCAUCUUGCAUUUAAUCCCCAUUCACGUCUAUAGCUCCAUAACAUAAAACCAGUCUCAUAUAUUAAACAAUCUCCUAGCGAUGGACCUUUAGUUUGUAUCAAUAUUUUUUACCAUUGCAGCUAAGUAGCAAUAAGUGUACUCAUAGGUCAUUUUUGCAUAUAUUGAAAUAUAUUGAUAUAAAUUCCCCAAAACGGAAAUAUGGAGGGAAUAAGCACACACACUUGUAAUUUUGAUGGAUACUGCUGGCUUGUCCUCCCUGGGGGUGUGUCCAGUUAUACUCCCAUUAACAAUGGGUAUCAGUGCCUGUUUUCCCACAACCUUGCUAAUCUUGUGAAUUUUCACCAAUCUGUUGGUUGAAGGACGGAUCUUAUUCUGAGUGAAACCGAACGUCUUUUCAUGUGAGUCUGAGCUUCUUGAAUGAACUUUUCUUCCACCUAUCGUUUCAUAUACUUUGUCCAUUUGGUGUUUUUCUUAUCAAUUUCCAGAAACCCUUUGUAGAGGAUGGGGAGUACCCUUUGACCACGAUAUGGGCUGGCAAGCAAUUUUUCCCAGCUGGUCACAUUACUUUCCCCAACAACCAACUUCACUGAGGUAUGAUGUGUUUCAGUAACGUGUACUUUGAACAUACAGUUCAAUGAAUUGCAACAGAUACACAUCCAUAGAAUCACCACCCACCACCACGACUGAGGUACAGAAUAUUUCUAUGACCCUUACAUUAUUUUAGAAUAUGCUUCCAGUAGUGUUGCCAUACAGAAACUUCUAAUCUUUCUAUAGUUGAAACUUUUUUUUUAAUGUUUAUUUAUUUAUUUUGGGAGAGAGAGAGAGUACA